rnacentral:sRNA from 1 species
CUUCCUCGGCCUGCUGGGGCGCGAUGAAAUGGAUGUGGGUAUCGAUGGCGCCCGCCGUCAGGAUCCGGCCUUCGCCCGCGAUCACGUCGGUGCCCGGCCCGAUGACAAUGGUCACGCCCGGCUGAAUAUCCGGAUUGCCGGCCUUUCCGAUGCCUGAAAUACGGCCGUUCUUGAUGCCGACGUCGGCUUUGACGAUGCCCCAAUGGUCGAGGAUGAUGACGUUGGUGAUGACGAGAUCGGCGACAUCGCCGGCCAGCCGCUGGCUCUGUCCCAUGCCAUCGCGAAUG